UAGGGAAUCUUCCGCAAUGGACGAAAGUCUGACGGAGCAACGCCGCGUGAGUGAAGAAGGAUUUCGGUUCGUAAAACUCUGUUGUUAGGGAAGAAAAAAUGUAUAGUAACUAUAUACAAAAGAGACAGUACCUAACCAGAAAGCCACGGCUAACUACGUGCCAGCAGCCGCGGUAAUACGUAGGUGGCAAGCGUUGUCCGGAAUUAUUGGGCGUAAAGCGCGCGCAGGUGGUUUAGAAAGUCUGAUGUGAAAGCCCACGGCUCAACCGUGGAGGGUCAUUGGAAACUAAUAAACUUGAGUGCAGGAGAGAAAAGUGGAAUUCCUAGUGUAGCGGUGAAAUGCGUAGAGAUUAGGAGGAACACCGGUGGCGAAAGCGGCUUUUUGGCCUGCAACUGACACUGAGGCGCGAAAGCGUGGGGAGCAAACAGG
rnacentral:rRNA from 1 species